GGGGCUAUAGUUUAGUGGCUAGAAUACUUCGUUGUGGCCGAAGAGACCCGUGUUCGAUUCACGGUAGCCCCA
rfam:Sporothrix schenckii ATCC 58251 unplaced genomic scaffold supercont1.2, whole genome shotgun sequence.